GAUGAAGAACGUAGCGAAAUGCGAUACUUGGUGUGAAUUGCAGAAUCCCGUGAACCAUCGAGUCUUUGAACGCAAGUUGCGCCCGAAGCCAUCAGGUUGAGGGCACGUCUGCCUGGGCGUCACAUAUCGUUGCCCAAUGCCUAUUGCAGUGCAAUAGGAAUUUAUAGGGCGAAUGAUGGCUUCCCGUGAGCGUUGUUGCCUCGCGGUUGGUUGAAAAUCGAGUCCUUGGUAGGGUGUGCCAUGGUAGAUGGUGGUCGAGUUAGAACGAUACCGAUCAUGUGCAUGCUCCCCAAAAUAUGGCCUCUAUGACCCACACGCGUCUUUUGACGCUCAUGACGAGACCUCAGGUCAGGCGGGGCUACCCGCUGAAUUUAAGCAUAUCAAUAAGCGGAGGA
rnacentral:misc_RNA from 1 species